rnacentral:lncRNA from 1 species
GUCAGUAUUGAAAAAUUGUCAGUUCUCCUUCAAUUGAUCUCUAAAACAAUAAGAUCUCAAUUAACAGUGCGAUUUUUUUUUUUUUUUUUUUGGUAUGUGUGUGUGAAACUUGAUGAGCUGAUUUCUGUAGCUCAUCUGGAGGAGACAGGUGGCAAGAUUUCCACUGAGCUAAUGUUUCAGUGAGCCAACGGAACAGACCCGUCUAGCAUCUAGAAGAAACUAUGAGAAGCAGCAAAAUGCUACCCAAGACUAAGUUUCAGGAAACUUCUCCUGGCUCCUUCUUGCUCCCCGGGGGUUUAAGUACUGGAGACAGCGAGAGCUCAGAAUGAUUCCCUUCUCCUGGUUCUCACACCUUCUGGUAAUUUCCCACCGUGUGCCAUGCCAGUGUUGUCCAACACUAGGAGCUAAGGGAGAUCAUAUUUCCACUGCUUUUGUGCCCUGGCCACCUGGCACACGCCUGAUUGAUCCAUAGCAAGUAACCACAAUAUGUUGUUGGAUAAAUAGCUCUCAUCAGUACAGAG